AGUGAACGCUGGCGGUAGGCCUAACACAUGCAAGUCGAACGGCAGCACAGUAAGAGCUUGCUCUUACGGGUGGCGAGUGGCGGACGGGUGAGGAAUACAUCGGAAUCUACUUUUUCGUGGGGGAUAACGUAGGGAAACUUACGCUAAUACCGCAUACGACCUACGGGUGAAAGCAGGGGAUCUUCGGACCUUGCUCGAUUGAAUGAGCCGAUGUCGGAUUAGCUAGUUGGCGGGGUAAAGGCCCACCAAGGCGACGAUCCGUAGCUGGUCUGAGAGGAUGAUCAGCCACACUGGAACUGAGACACGGUCCAGACUCCUACGGGAGGCCGCAGUGGGGAAUAUUGGACGAUGGGCGCAAGCCUGAUCCAGCCAUACCGCGUGGGUGAAGAAGGCCUUCGGGUUGUAAAGCCCUUUUGUUGGGAAAGAAAAGCAGCAGGUUAAUACCACGCUGUUCUGACGGUACCCAAAGAAUAAGCACCGGCUAACUUCGUG
rnacentral:rRNA from 1 species